CUGCUUACACAUGCAGUCGAACGGAAUCCUUAGGGAUUUAGUGGCGGACGGGUGAGUAACACGUAAGAACCUGCCUCUAGGACGGGGACAACAGUUGGAAACGACUGCUAAACCCGGAUGAGCCGAAAGGUAAAAGAUUAAUCGCCUAGAGAGGGGCUUGCGUCUGAUUAGCUAGUUGGUGAGGUAAGAGCCCACCAAGGCGACGAUCAGUAGCUGGUCUGAGAGGAUGAUCAGCCACACUGGGACUGAGACACGGCCCAGACUCCUACGGGAGGCAGCAGUGGGGAAUUUUCCGCAAUGGGCGAAAGCCUGACGGAGCAAGACCGCGUGGGGGAGGAAGGUUCUUGGAUUGUCAACCCCUUUUCUCAGGGAAGAACACAAUGACGGUACCUGAGGAAAAAGCAUCGGCUAACUCCGUGCCAGCAGCCGCGGUAAUACGGGGGAUGCAAGCGUUAUCCGGGAAUGAUUGGGCGUAAAGAGUCCGUAGGUAGUCAUCCAAGUCUGCUGUUAAAGAGCGAGGCUUAACCUCGUAAAGGCAGUGGAAACUGGGAAGACUAGAGUGUAGUAG
rnacentral:rRNA from 1 species